AACUAAUAAACUCUACAGUAGGUUCAUACUUGUAUUUACAAGUACUAACCUGUGGCAGAGUUUAUU